rnacentral:lncRNA from 1 species
GUCAGCCCAGGCUCCAAAUAUGUAACAAACAGGUGGAGAAGUAUGAAGAACGAGGAACACUGCCAGGGGAGUUUCUUCCUCUGCAAAAUAAGGGAGUGUGUACUGAAUUACCUUUUCCAGCUCCAACAUCCAGGAUUUCAGCACUACCUGCACAGUAGUGGGGGGAGAGAUAGAGGAAGCAGGGAAGAUAGGAAAGCACUCUAAGCCGGUGGCUGGGCUUCCGUGGUGGCUGGGACAGCAGCAGUAGUGCUGUCCAUCUGCUCGUCCGAGGGGUGGCACAUCCUAGCCUCUAUCUUUUCCCUAGAGAAGAUCCCUUCGUCUGCUCUUCCCCCCCCCCCCCCCCCCCCCCCCCCCCCCCCCCCCGUCUCAGCCUCAGCCUUUUAGUGUGUGAACAGUUCUGGUGUGACUCAUCAGUGCUUUUGUUAGCGCCUUUACCAGCAAGUACUUGUUAAACACUUAAAUCUUACAAAUGGAAAGAAAAUUCCAUGAUAAAUUU